UAUUGGCUAAUAAAGUCUGGUCUUUAAUUUGGCUUUCAACUCAGAAACCAACCAGGAGCUGAUAAUGAAUCAAGGGGGACUAAGUUUGUUAUCUAUGAGAGGAGAUCAGGAUGGUACUAAAAAUGGCCAGAACGGUAACUAACCUAGGCGAUCUCCAUUUUCCACAUCCUCAUUGGCUUUCCCUUCAACUCUUCAAGUAGCCUUGUCUCUGGGAAUCAAUAUGGACCAGGGCACUGGCGGAUGCAGGAAAUUCUGAGUACAAUAGAGCAUGGUGGAAGAUUGACAUAAUUGCAGGAAUCUUCGACUCCACAAGAAUGAUUUAUUUUGUAAUUUUUUGUUUUCAAAGAAGUAAUUGAUAUCAUCAAAGCAUCAAACUGCUAUUCA